GGUUAAGCGACUAAGCGUACACGGUGGAUGCCCUGGCAGUCAGAGGCGAUGAAGGACGUGCUAAUCUGCGAAAAGCGUCGGUAAGGUGAUAUGAACCGUUACAGCCGGCGAUGUCCGAAUGGGGAAACCCAGUGCAAUUCGUUGCACUAUCGUUAACUGAAUACAUAGGUUAACGAGGCGAACCGGGGGAACUGAAACAUCUAAGUACCCCGAGGAAAAGAAAUCAACCGAGAUUCCCCCAGUAGCGGCGAGCGAACGGGGAGCAGCCCAGAGUCUGAAUCAGCUUGUGUGUUAGUGGAACGGUCUGGAAAGUCCGACGGUACAGGGUGAUAGUCCCGUACACCAAAAUGCACAGGUUGUGAACUCGAAGAGUAGGGCGGGACACGUGGUAUCCUGUCUGAAUAUGGGGGGACCAUCCUCCAAGGCUAAAUACU
rnacentral:rRNA from 1 species